GCAGCACUCCAGCGAGGAUCAUGGCGGCUGCGAUACCGAGCACCCAGUUGGGAUAUGGUGUCUUCUCAACGCGACCCUGUAAAUACAUGAAGUGAUUGUAAACGCACGGAGACCUCUACAUCGCUACGCCGUAGCCCGUAGCCCGUAGCUGCAUAGACCGCACAAAAUCAAUACUCGGCCGGGAGCAAAGGUACUCCAAGGAGAAAGACAGAGAUGAGAGAUGUUUUCACAGUUAAGCCAAAGAACAACUUCGAAAAUGACCUUUGAGAGCUGGGUGAAGAUUGGGCAUAAUCGGUAAUUCCGGCGCGUCUAUACCAGGGAAGUUCCGGAGAGGCUAGUCCUUUCCCAGAGGAGGUGAUGCUUAGUUGGCUAGCGCAAACGUGGACGCGGAGGAGUGCUGACAGAGUACCCAUAGCCCCGCCAUCAUGCGUAGCAGGAACCAGAGGUGGUUUGUUGGGUACGUGCCCGCCUUAUCUAUUGUUUACUUUAUAGACUGACUAGCUAUUGCCCGCGAUUUCGUUCACGUGAAAUUAUAAAAUAAUUAAAAAU